AAGAAAUCAACAUUUACGGGUGUUCACAAAUUAAAAGGCAACCACCAGUAAUGUUCCACAACAAUGGCAACCAAACAAUGGUCUUAUUAUGACCAAUGAUAUCUCAGAUGUCAACCUUGAAGAAGCAGUGUUAUUCCAUUAUUAUUUUUUCAUGUUGAUACGAUCGUGGUGAAAAAUAAAAUCAGAAUAUUAGGUCUUGGAGACCUUGGAGUUCAGGGCAUUGGAAUUUCAAUAGG